rnacentral:antisense_RNA from 1 species
CGGUGCGGUGGCCCAGCGCGGCCGCCUGGCCCUCGAGCUCGCCGAAGAUGUCCCCGGCACAGCGCGACAGGGUUGUUAUGAGGCUCAAAGGAACUGCUGCUGUCUGUGAAAAAACAUGCUUUGCAAUUUAUGAAGCACUGGAUAAACAUCAGGAACAGUAUAAAAGCGUACUACUUCCUCAAGAAAUACUAGUUGAGUGCCUGUGUGUUGGGCACUGGCUAGAGAUAAGGGGCCUCCUAUGGACAGAAGUGCGGGCAAGGAGCUUUGUUCCUCCCCGAUGUCACCCUCCCACAGCCCACCUGCUAGCAGGCAAGAGAGUGGUGGAGGCCGGCAGGAAGGCAUGUACUGAACUGGGCCUCUGGUGGAAUGGCGUCACCCAUGCUGGGCUUGGUGGGUGUUUGAAAGUGACUCUUUCGUGGACACUGUUGUGAGCUGUCACUGGGAAUGUUUGGCCAUGCUUCCUGACACUGGCAAUGAAUUUUCUCUAGCUGCUUGUUCUACCCCAACCUUGGUUUUCCUUCUGUCCCCUCCAUGCAGACUCUUACCAUCGGGGUCCCGCCAACCCUUCAGUGAGACUUUUUCAGAAGAAUCCCUUUUAAAAUGACCUCAAGCUGACCUUCCUGCUGCAGAUUCCACAUAUGGUAUCUGAGACUCACACAGUGUGGUUGGAAGAUAGCACAGUGACCUCCCAGGCACAGCCCCCUGCCAGCCCUCCACUGGCUGCCCUAGGAUGCUGGCCUUCCUCCGAUGGGAGUCGGGCCCAGUCUGCUGUCAGCCAGGAGCAGCCAGCAAGCUCCCUGGGAGGCCUGGAGGAGCCCUUCUCACUCAGCUUGGUGUUCGAUGCCAGUGCCCCCACCCAUUGUGGGGUGAGGGUGGGACUCUCAGCACAGCCCUGUCCAAAUAAAUCCUCUAAAGCCCUCUUC